rnacentral:rRNA from 1 species
ACAGGUGGUGCAUGGUGUCGUCAGCUCGUGUCGUGAGAUGUUGGGUUAAGUCCGCAACGAGCGCAACCCUCGACCUUAGUUGCCAGCAUUCAGUUGGGCACUCUAAGGUGACUGCCGGCUAAAAGUCGGAGGAAGGUGGGGAUGACGUCAAAUCAUCAUGCCCCUUAUGACCUGGGCUACACACGUGCUACAAUGGGCGGUACAAAGGGUCGCGAACCCGCGAGGGGGAGCCAAUCCCAAAAAGCCGCUCUCAGUUCGGAUUGCAGGCUGCAACUCGCCUGCAUGAAGCCGGAAUCGCUAGUAAUCGCGGAUCAGCAUGCCGCGGUCGAAUACGUUCCCGGGCCUU